rnacentral:rRNA from 1 species
UACAGAGGUCUCAACCGUUGUUCGGAAUUACUGGGCGUAAAGGGCGCGUAGGCGGCCUGCUAAGUCGAACGUGAAAUCCCCGGGCUCAACCCGGGAACUGCGUCCGAUACUGGUAGGCUUGAAUCCGGGAGAGGGAUGCGGAAUUCCAGGUGUAGCGGUGAAAUGCGUAGAUAUCAGGAGGAACACCGAUGGCGAAGGCAGGUCUCUGGGCAUUAACUGACGCUGAGGAGCGAAAGCAUGGGGAGCGAACAGG